rnacentral:rRNA from 1 species
CCGUUCCCAUGCCGAACACGGAAGUUAAGCUCUCCAGCGCCGAUGAUAGUUGGGGGUUUCCCCCUGUGAAAGUAGGACGCCGCUGGGC